rnacentral:rRNA from 1 species
AUUGAACGCUGGCGGCAUGCCUUACACAUGCAAGUCGAACGGCAGCACGGGAGCAAUCCUGGUGGCGAGUGGCGAACGGGUGAGUAAUAUAUCGGAACGUGCCCGGUCGUGGGGGAUAACGUAGCGAAAGCUACGCUAAUACCGCAUACGAUCUACGGAUGAAAGCGGGGGAUCGCAAGACCUCGCGCGAUUGGAGCGGCCGAUAUCAGAUUAGGUAGUUGGUGAGGUAAAGGCUCACCAAGCCGACGAUCUGUAGCUGGUCUGAGAGGACGACCAGCCACACUGGGACUGAGACACGGCCCAGACUCCUACGGGAGGCAGCAGUGGGGAAUUUUGGACAAUGGGCGGCAAGCCUGAUCCAGCAAUGCCGCGUGCAGGA